CAAGUACUCCCUCCAUCUGGAAUUACUUGUCAUCAAAAUGGAUGUGUCUAGAACUAAAAUACAUCUAGAUACAUCCAUUUCAAUGAAAAGUAUUUUCGGACGGAGGGAGUACAAG
rnacentral:pre_miRNA from 1 species